rnacentral:lncRNA from 1 species
AGCAGCUUCGGGCUGUCUCUGUCUGAGGGCACGCAGCAAUGGGAGAGCAAGGCAGAGAAAAGCAGGCCCUGUUGCCCAUCUUAGCUUUGGCUUGUCCAUGACAGCAGUAAUGUUCUGAGAGGACUGCACCUUGCAGGACAGGAUUUAUCAUCAUCAGUUGGCAUUCAAGGCAGCCCCUGAAUGAAACCAUUCUUCCAGCUAGGAUGUUGCUCUGGCUCUUCAGCUUUGCCUGGAACCAGUGAGCAGGGGGUGCAGUCCUUCCUGUCUCUACCCUGCCCAGGCCCCUUAAUCCUGAGCUUUCCGAGAACCAGAGGAUGUGCCACAGGCAGGGUCUGAAAAGAAAGUGAUUAGAGAGUCUGAAAGCAGUUCAUCACUUCAGAUAAAGUCAGACACAAUCACAGAAGCAUCUGGCUGGAGAGGACCCGAGAGCUCAUCUCAUUUAGACCCUCACUUCUAGACUGGGUAUUGCUGUGAUGGAUUCAGGUUUUUGCAUCCUGCAUUCUGCACAAGCUUCUCUCAUUAUCAAAGGAAAAAAGUCGAGAGAGUGAAUGUGGAGCCUCAAGCAAACAUUUCUGAAAAUACUGCAUUAGACUUGUGAAUUGCAAAAUAUAUAGAUCACCUCCAUUUGCCCACUCACCUCCUGCCCUCCUACAGAAUAAGAGUUAUUUAUAUAACCUGAGGUGGGGCACCCAACAGUACUCCCUAUUCUUAUCUAGCCUCCUCUGCUUGGUCUUUCAUGCCAAAGCUGCAGGAGCAAACCAGGUCUGCCUUGAAGUUUGAAAGGUUCUGAGAUUUGGGUGUGAACGCAAGAUUAUAAAAGUCCUUCUUUCUCCUUCUAUCACUCUGGAUUAAUUGGUGGAAAGUUUUAAGGGCCAGAGCGGUCUCUAGGUCUCAGAUGAAUGCUCUCUGUUUGCCUCUUGGAGCACUGUCUUCUAGAAAGCCUGGCUCUCCAGGGACAGUCCCCUCCUCACUGGCUGGGCAGGGAUCUUGGUGUACCCAACACUUGAGGCCUCCCUAGUUCCCCAGACUGUCUUUUUUGCCUCCAGGUUAGCCAUGGGCCAAGGCAUACUAAAAUUUCUCUUCACAAGGAUACCUAGGAAAAGAGAUCCUACACUACCUAGAGAUCCAAAUUCAUAUUUGUCAUUAGGUUGGUAAACUCUGCUCUGUUUUAUCUUCACCUCUCUCCUUCUUGGCUUCUAUGGGAAUAAUAUAUUAAUUCUUUAGCAUUUAUUAAAAACGCUGCCCGAUUUGGUUGCGUAAAUUAACGGAAACUAUGGCUUCUAAUUCAAAGGUCAGGGACAUUUUGAAGAAUCAAAAAGGGAAGGGUUCAAGGAUGUGUCCACAGCAGAGUGCAUUACCAGUAGGGGUCAGGCCCAGUAGGCACUGUUGUCAAGGGCUUUGGUCACUUGGGAGCAGCCGUCAGACUGGCACUGAUAGGGGUGGGAUAGCACAGCCCACAGACACCUGUCCAUCUGCUUGACAGACACAGAGCCCAGUCAAUUGAAGACAAGCUGUCUGCCUCACUAUUCUGUACAUGAAUAGAUCUGACUUUUCCACUAGUUAGAGUGGAGGACAGAAUUUUGGUAUAUAUGGACAUUAAGAGCACCGAAGUGUUAGUGUCAGUGGAUCUCAGUUGGUUCUGCAAGGUCCUAUCUAUGUGACUUUGAGUUUGUUGCAUAACUAUCAAGCCAUACUUCCCUUAUCUCAGAAAUGGUGGUAAUGGUAAUACUUAACUCGUGAGGUUAUUCUGAUGACACAAUGGACAGAAACUUGAAAAUUACUGGCAUGUAAGUGGUAGUUAAUGUUAGAUAUUGUCUUAGUCAAUUGAGAAUGCUGCAACUGAAUACUUUAAAAUGAGUGCUUAAACAAAACACAUUUCACAGUUCUGGGGGCCAGGAAGUCCAAGAUCAGGGUGCCAGCAUGGUCAAGGUUUUGGUGGGAACCUUCUUCCUGGUUUUCAUUUGGCUUUCUUUUUGUUGUGUCUCACGUGGCAGAGAUCAGAAAGAGAGAAAGCAAGCAAGUCCCUUUGUGUUUCUUUUUCUAGGGCACUAAUCCCAUUCAGGGCUUCAUCCUUUUGACCAAAAAUUGCCUCCAAAAAGCCCAUCUUUAAAUACCAUCACACUGGGGAUUAGAUUUGAACAUAUGAAUUUUGAAAGACACAAACAUUCAGGUCAGGGCAGGUAUUGUUAUUAUCUAUCUCCUGCUCCCUUCUCAUCUAAAAGACGCUCUACCUAUAGACAUACUAUUGAAAAUAUAUUUUAGAACGCUCUCUUGUCUCAUUAUACUCUUUUAUUAUCAGUCCUUAACAUCAACCUCAUCUCCAGGAAAGAUUUUAAAGGAUGCCCUUAGUGUCAAGAGAAAGCUAAAUGUUCUUUCAGAAAUAUGGGCAAAAUACUUACAUAUCUACAGAUACUCAUAUGCUGUUCAUGAAUGUAUAAACUGGUAGAACGUUUUCAGAGAGCAAUAUGGCAAUAUGAACAGUAGUCCACUCUUUUUACUAAAUAUAUCUAUUAAUGGAACAGAUGAGAAAACCCAGAAAUAAUCUCAAAUGCACAUAGAAUUUGGUGUAUGAUGAAGAUGACAUUUCAAGUUAAUAGAGUACAGAUGAAUUAUCAAUGAAUUUAAUUGGGACAACUGGGUAGCCAUCUGAUAAAAUAUUAAGUUGGAUCCUUAUGCCAUUUCUUAUGCCAAAAUAAAUUUCAGGAGGAUAAAAUAUACAACUGUGAAAAAGGAAUCCAUAAAAGUGUGAUGAGAAAGCUUGGGGACAAUAAUUUAUAAUGUCAAAGUGAGGAAAAACGUCCCACUAAGAUGUCUUAAAAUUUGUUUCCAUAAAUGUAUGAUUUGUUAAAUGGUAAAAGGCAUGAAAAAUAUUACCAUGUGAAACACAGCCCACAUUUGUGAAAACUGUGACUAAUAUUUCUGCAAGCAGAUUCAUCUGCCAACUUGGGAUUUGUAAGUAAAAAAGUUUCAAUGGACUGUUUUGGUUCCAUCUUGUAUUUCAAAACGCCUUCCACGGAGAAAAAUGCCCAUAAUAUGGGAAGAUUGUGACCCUGUGGUGUACAGUGGAUUAGACACUGGAUGCAAAGAAACUUUCACUUUGCCCCUUCCUGGAUUUUCUGUUUCAGAGUAUGCGGAGGGCAGCCCAGAGAAGCACUAAUCUGGAAAAACAAAAGAAAACAAUUUUUUUCCUCAGUAUUUCCCAAAAUUUCCUAUCUGAAAGCAUUGAGUUUUUAAUUUUUUGAAACAAUAAUAUUGUGUAUAUAUUAUAUGUUGUGAACACCCCCUUCAUAGCAUAUGGGGCUACAUUCUAUAACCAGAUAUGUUUU